ACCUACGGGGCGCAGCAGUAGGGAAUCUUCCACAAUGGGCGAAAGCCUGAUGGAGCAACGCCGCGUGGGUGAAGAAGGUCUUCGGAUCGUAAAACCCUGUUGUUAGAGAAGAAAGUGCGUGAGAGUAACUGUUCACGUUUCGACGGUAUCUAACCAGAAAGCCACGGCUAACUACGUGCCAGCAGCCGCGGUAAUACGUAGGUGGCAAGCGUUAUCCGGAUUUAUUGGGCGUAAAGGGAACGCAGGCGGUCUUUUAAGUCCGAUGUGUAAGCCUUCGGCUUAACCGGAGUAGUGCAUUGGAAACU
rnacentral:rRNA from 1 species